UGAACUUUACAGAUGGCCAACUGCUGGUACUGCUGUAUUGAUCGGUUGCUUUUAUUAAUGUGUUAAAUCUUGUGGUUGCAGCAGGAUCAUAUUUUGUGAUACAACAGCUAAUAGCUGAAGAACUCUGCCAUGAAAGUCCCAAGCAGCCCAGCCUUAGCAGGUAGCAAGGAAAGAACAGAAUGUGUACAGAAGGAAUACAGCUACAACUGAUUCCUGGAAGCACAAUAAUGCAAAUAGAGAUUUCCCCCUUCGGAGCAAAAUGCCAUGAUGCUCACAAGAGCUAUAUAGACAGAAAAUGGUGCUGAUAGAAGCAAAAGAGGAAAGUUUUCAUCAUCCAAACAACAUGGACCUAAAUAUUGGAACCUAACAUUGGAAACUAAAGGCCAAUUACUCCCUGAGGUGCAUGGGGGGCCACUUCCACUGUAAUCAGUCUUGUGAUUGUGAAGGCAGAAGAGGACCUUGACUGUCUGUAUCUGGACUUUGUCAGCCCAUUUGUUUGUGACCAUAGUUGUAUCAUUACUGUGCUUUUCAAUAAAGGGAUGUUCACUGAGGCA
rnacentral:lncRNA from 1 species